AACGCACAUUGCGCCCUUUGGUAUUCCUUAGGGCACACCUGUUCGAGCGUCAUUACACCCCUCCAGCCUCGCUGGGUAUUGAGCGCGGCGGCUUCACGCCCGUUCUAAUGUCUCGAUCGGCUGUAGUAUAUGUCCCUCAGCGUUGUGACAAAUGUCGCUCUGGGUACUGGUACUGCGGCCGCAAACACUAUUUAGGUUGACCUCGGAUCAGGUGGGGAUACCCGCUGAACUUAA
rnacentral:misc_RNA from 1 species